rnacentral:lncRNA from 1 species
CCCUAGGGUUUUGGCUUAGGGUUCGGGAAGUGAGAACAUGAGCUACGAGUGUCGUGAGCCCACCAAACUUCAGGGAGAGCAUCACCAACCUCUCUACCACCUUUUCUGAUGAUUCAAAGUAUUUGAAAAAUCGGCAGAUAUCGAUCGAAGGAGUUCGAUCAACAUCGACCAUCAAAAAGGUGCAGUCACGAACUAGUAUUUGUGAGGAG